rnacentral:lncRNA from 1 species
GUUAUGGGGCAAUGUGGGGCACUAUGGGGUGUGUUAGGGCAGUUAUGGGGUGCUGCGGGGCGCUAUGGGGCAGGUUAGGGCAGUUAUGGGGCGAUGGGGGAAGCUGUGGGGCAGUUGUGGGGCGCUAUGGGGCAGAGCAGUGAUCCCCUCCUGCCCCACAGCGAGCGAUCGGGGCCUGGUUGCGGCGCGGCUUCGAUGGAGUCUUCCUGGACGGCAUCGAGGAGCUGAAGGUGUGGGGCUGACUUGUGGGGCGCUAUGGGGCGGGGCUGUGGGGCUGCGCUUUUAGGGCGCUAUGGGGUGGGGCUGUGCGGUGCUAUGGGGUGCUGUUAUGCAGCGCUGUGGGUCUCUAUAGGGCGGUAUGAGUUUCUGUAGAGUGCUGUGGGGUUCUGUGGGGCACUGUGGGGCGGCGCUAUGGGGUAGGGUUAUGGGGCUGCUCUAUGGGGCGCUAUGGGGUGGAGCUAUGCAGCGCUGUGGGUCUCUGUAGGGCACGAUGGGUUUUUGUAGGGAACUGCGAGUUUCUGUGGGUCUUUUAAGAUUGUGUGGGGCGCUAUGGGGCAGUGCUGUGGGGCAGUGCUGUGGGGCGCUAUGGGGCGGUGCCAUGGAGCUGUGCUGUGGGGCGGUGCUGUGGGGCGCUAUGGGGUGGUGCUGUGGGGCGCUACGGGGCGGUGCUGUGGGGCGCAGUGGGGCGCUACAGGGCGGUGCUGUGGGGCGCAGUGGGGCAGUGCUGUGGGGCAGUGCUGUGGGGCGCUAUGGGGCAGUGCUGAGGGGCGCUAUGGGGCGGUGCCAUGGAGCUGUGCUGUGGGGCGCAGUGGAGCGCUAUGGGGCUGUGCUGUGGGGCGUUAUGGGGCGGUGCUGUGGGGCUCUCUGGGGCGUUAUGGGGCGGUGCUGUGGGGCGCUAUGGGGCAGUGCCUUGGGGCGGUGCUGUGGGGCGCUAUGGGGCAGUGCCUUGGGGCUGUGCUGUGGGGCGCUAUGGGGCGGUGCUGUGGGGCGCAGUGGGGCGCUAUGGGGCCACGCCACGGGGCUGUGCUG